UAAAAUCACUGGGGGAGCCUUUAGGCUGAGAUAACAUAGUUAGACCCUUUGACCUGAUCUAGAUAAUGCUAGCGUAGGAAACGUGAAUAUUUUCAAAA
rfam:Gemella haemolysans ATCC 10379 ctg1119035638546, whole genome shotgun sequence.